CCUUAAUUAAUUCAUAACAACCAGCAGAACUAGAAUUUUCUUGUUCUUCCUUGGUCGAUUGACAGCACAAAGCAAGCACCGUAGCGACAGGCUAUGGAAUACCUAGCUAGGCGACCAUGAUGUCUUGAUCGAUUCACACACACGUACAACACGCACACAUGCACGCACGACGUGCACACAGAAACACACACACACGGUAUAACAGCCAGCAAGGCUGAUUGAUAUGGU
rnacentral:lncRNA from 1 species